rnacentral:rRNA from 1 species
GMCACGACUYUCGGCAACGGAUAUYUCGGCUCUCGCAUCGAUGAAGAACGUAGCGAAAUGCGAUACCUGGUGUGAAUUGCAGAAUCCCGCGAACCAUCGAGUCUUUGAACGCAAGUUGCGCCCGAGGCCACCCGGUSGAGGGCACGCCUGCCUGGGCGUCACG